rnacentral:lncRNA from 1 species
GUCAGGUACUGACUACAUUACAGGGUAGUGAUCAAUAGACGGGGUAAGGUCAGGUACUGACUACAUUACAGGGUAGUGAUCAAUAGACGGGGAAAGGUACUGACUACAUUACAGGGUAGUGAUCAAUAGACGGGGUAAGGUACUGACUACAUUACAGGGUAGUGAUCAAUAGAGGGGGAAAGGUACUGACUACAUUACAGGGUAGUGAUCAAUAGACGGGGAAAGGUAAGGUACUGACUACAUUACAGGGUAGUGAUCAAUAGAUGGGGAAAGGUACUGACUACAUUACAGGGUAGUGAUCAAUAGACUGUGAAAGGUACUGACUACAUUACAGGGUAGUGAUCAAUAGACGGGGAAAGGUACUGACUACAUUACAGGGUAGUGAUCAAUAGAUGGGGAAAGGUAAGGUACUGACUACAUUACAGGGUAGUGAUCAAUAGAUGGUGAAAGGUACUGACUACAUUACAGGGUAGUGAUCAAUAGAUGGGGUAAGGUACUGACUACAUUACAGGGUAGUGAUCAAUAGAUGGGGAAAGGUACUGACUACAUUACAGG